rnacentral:rRNA from 1 species
GAUGAACGCUGGCGGCGUGCCUAAUACAUGCAAGUCGAGCGAACAGACGAGGAGCUUGCUCCUCUGACGUUAGCGGCGGACGGGUGAGUAACACGUGGAUAACCUACCUAUAAGACUGGGAUAACUUCGGGAAACCGGAGCUACUACCGGAUAAUAUAUCGACCCGGAUGGUUCAAUAGUUAAAGACGGUUUUUCGUUCGCUAAUAGACGGAUCCGGCCCGCAUCAGCUAGUUGGUAAGGUAACGGCUUACCAAGGCUACGAUGCGUAGCCGACCUGAGAGCGUGAUCGGCCAGACGGGAACUGAGACACGGUACAGACUCCUACGGGAGGCAGCAGCAGGGAAUCUUCCGCAAGGGGCGAAAGCCUGACGGAGCAACGCCGCGUGAGUGAUGAAGGUCUUCGGAUCGUAAAGCUCUGUUGUUCGGAAAGAACAAAUGUUUAAGUACCUAUGCACGUCUUGACGGUACCUAAUCAGAAAGCCACGGCUAACUACGUG